rfam:Ictidomys tridecemlineatus contig124433, whole genome shotgun sequence.
GGGGCUGUAGCUCACUGGUAGAGUGCUUGCUUAGCACAUAUGAGGCAUGGGUUCGAACCUCAGCACCG